GUGCGUUAGCUUUAAACUGUGCAAAGAUUAAAAAUGAAAAGGCGGCACUAUCAGUCUGGUGCAAAGAAGAGGAAGAAGAGGAAAGGAGAUGAGAAAAGAAAGGAUCAAGAAAGGGGGCACUUUUGAAGUAUUUUCUAAAGAAUAAACUUACAGCUGGUGAAAAUGCAGCGGCUGCCUCCUCCUCACAUGACAGUCUUGGCCCUGUCUCACCCUACAUUGGCCUUGCUUCCGGCUUAUCUGUUACCUCCACCACAGGUAGUG